CCUACGGGAGGCAGCAGUGGGGAAUAUUGGGCAAUGGGCGCAAGCCUGACCCAGCAACGCCGCGUGAAGGAAGAAGGCUUUCGGGUUGUUAACUUCUUUUAAGAGGGGAGAGAAGAAGACGGUACCUCUUGAAUAAGCCACGGCUAACUACGUGCCAGCAGCCGCGGUAAUACGUAGGUGGCCAGCGAUGUCCGGAGUUACUGGGUGUAAAGGGCGUGUAGCCGGGCUGACAAGUCAGAUGUGAAAUCCCGCGGCGCAACCGCGGAACUGCAUUUGAAACUGUCAGUCUUGAGUACCGGAGAGGUCAUCGGAAUUCCUGGUGGAGCGGUGAAAUGCGUAGAUAUAAGGAAGAACACCAGUGGCGAAGGCGGAUGACUGGACGGCAACUGACGGUGAGGCGCGAAAGCGUGGGGAGCAAACAGGAUUAGAUACCCCUGUAGUC
rnacentral:rRNA from 1 species